CCUACGGGUGGCAGCAGUGAGGAAUAUUGGUCAAUGGGCGCGAGCCUGAACCAGCCAAGCCGCGUGAGGGAAGACGGUCCUAUGGUUUGUAAACCUCUUUUGUCGGGGAGCAAAAGACGCUACGCGUGGCGUUCCGAGCGUCUCCGAAGAAAAAGCAUCGGCUAACUCCGUGCCAGCAGCCGCGGUAAUACGGAGGAUGCGCGCGUUAUCCGGAUUUAUUGGGUUUAACGGGUGCGUAGGCGGAAGAUCAAGUUAGCGGUAAAAUUGCGAGGCUCAACCUCGUCGAGCCGUUGAAAAUGGUUUUCUUGAGUGAGUGAGAAGUAUGCGGAAUGCGUGGUGUAGCGGUGAAAUGCAUAGAUAUCACGCAGAACUCCGAUUGCGAAGGCAGCAUACCGGCGCUCAACUGACGCUGAUGCACGAAAGUGUGGGUAUCGAACAGGAUUAGAUACCCCAGUAGUC
rnacentral:rRNA from 1 species